GGUUGUGGCUCAGUGGUUGAACGCUUGCCUAGUACAUGGGAGGCACUGGGUUCAAUCCUCAGCACCA
rnacentral:tRNA from 1 species